GGUGUGAGUCCUCGGGCUACAACACAGGACCCGGGCGCUGUUCAGACCCCUCGUGUCUUGUGUUGCAGCCGGAGGGACACA
rnacentral:pre_miRNA from 1 species